rnacentral:lncRNA from 1 species
CAGGGGUGGUCUUAAAAUCGAGCUCCCAGAGAUCAAAUGUGCCUUUGACGAAAUUGUAGUGAGCUCCCCUUAUUGCAAGUGUGUUCUUCACUACUGCAGCUCUCACAAAUGGGUAUGAAAGCAGGUUUCCAAGAGACACAUUCACAGCUUCCUACAAGAGACAGAGAUGUGUUAAGCAGAAAUAACAGAGCAUUGAGUGUUGUUUGUGUUAUUGUGUCCUUUUAAAUUUGUUUUUUACCUUCUCACACUUGUUACAUUGUUCAUCGUAGUCUAGGUUUUUUUCUCUCUAUGGUUUCUCUGAGUAUUUUACUCUGGAAUUGGAUAAUGAAAUCGACCAGAGAGCCCCCAUAUUUUAAAUCUAGUUUACUACUUUAUCUGAUAAAUAUUUGAUGAAUAUCAUUUAUAGAGUUCAAAAUCUUGGUUCGAAUUAGACUAACCAGUGGGUCUUUCUUUUUCCGCACGUCACUUAGAUAAAAUAAAUAAGAUUGAAAGGUUGUUCAGAGUAUUAUUGUUUACAGCUCUUUGAAACAGAAGUAGCAAAGUUGCAAGUUUGAAAAUAAGAAACCAAUCAAAAGGAAGUUGAGAUCAGAAUCAACAGGAGAAAGAAAGGAUGCAGUCAAAGCUUUUGUGAGAGAAAACCAAAUCUCACAAGAGUUAUAUUCAAGAGAAGGCAUAAGCAGGGGUGGUCUUAAAAUCGAGCUCCCAGAGAUCAAAUGUGCCUUUGACGAAAUUGUAGUGAGCUCCCCUUAUUGCAAGUGUGUUCUUCACUACUGCAGCUCUCACAAAUGGGUAUGAAAGCAGGUUUCCAAGAGACACAUUCACAGCUUCCUACAAGAGACAGAGAUGUGUUAAGCAGAAAUAACAGAGCAUUGAGUGUUGUUUGUGUUAUUGUGUCCUUUUAAAUUUGUUUUUUA